CCUCAACUGCCUACAGCAGAAGGUCCUCAUACAGCAAGAGAGAGGAAGACAGGAGCCAAGGAAAACAUGCAUUGCAGCAAAUAGGGGUGAGAAGAAACAGCAUGGGACUUCUACUGUAUAAGAACCAUGUCUCCUUCUCUACUGUGAGAAUAUACUUUGCUUUGAGGGGCGACCUUCAUGAAAAUGGAUCUCAAAGGGGAACUGGACUAUAAAAGUGAAGGGUAAAACCACCCCAAAUUAUCUCUCUCUAUCCACCUCUCCACCUCUCUCUUCACCUAAGAUGACAAAAGAAACAGCUGUUGGGAGCAGACCCUGGCCUGAGAGUUUGGUCACCAAUGUUACUUAAAAAAAGAGUAGGUUGCCCACUGCCAGCAGGUGCCAAAGAAGUGACAAAUGUAAUUCAAAGUCCAGUGGCCACAUCCUUCCAUGAGAACUGUGAAGUGGAUGCGAGUUAAGCAGUCAAUUUAUGACAUGGAUAUGUGGUUUCUCUGAGAUGCUUCCAUGAAGUUGUAUUUUUAGCUUACUGUACUACCAAUAUAGAGUCUGCCAUAAUGGAACAUGCCAAAAUGAAACAUUCUGAUCAUUGGUGCAAGGUUUUUUGGAAUAUUGUGCCCAAUAUAGACCCAGAUUGUUGAACUGCUUAUUCACUAUGGUGAGAGGUUCCUACCUGGGUAGUCUUACUGAAGUCAUUGCAUCUACUCAGGUGAGUAGUACUCACCAAGGUGAGUAAGGGUUGUCAACCUAGUCCUUAGCCCGGAGAGGACAAAAGCUGUAAACUUAUUGCAGAACUGUCAGUUAGAAAAUCUUUUUAAUUUUGAACUAAACAAAUGUGACAUGGAGACAUUGAGAAAAUCAAUAUGGAGCCUCAUAUUUCGUGUACCAAAUAGAACUGCACAUUACAAAGUAUACAGGGGUGUGCACAAUUAUCUCCUUUAAAGGUCCCUUCCUUUUUGCAGAUUGAGACUUUUUCAUGAAAGGUUGCACAUGGCAGCCAGUG